AGUGAACGCUGGCGGUAGGCCUAACACAUGCAAGUCGAACGGCAGCACAGUAAGAGCUUGCUCUUACGGGUGGCGAGUGGCGGACGGGUGAGGAAUACAUCGGAAUCUACUUUUUCUUGGGGGAUAACGUAGGGAAACUUACGCUAAUACCUCAUACUUCCUACGGGUGAAAGCAGGAGAUCUUCGCACCUUGCGCGAUUGAAUGAGCCGAUGUCGGAUUAGCUAGUUGGCUGGGUAAAGGCCCACCAAGGCGACGAUCCGUAGCUGGUCUGAGAGGAUGAUCAGCCACACUGGAACUGAGACACGGUCCAGACUCCUACGGGAGGCAGCAGUGGGGAAUCUUGGACAAUGGGCGCAAGCCUGAUCCAGCAAUACCGCGUGGGUGAAGAAGGCCUUCGGGUUGUAAAGCUCUUUUGUUGGGAAAGAAAAGCAGCAGGUUAAUACCCCGCUGUUCUGACGGUACCCAAAGAAUAAGCACCGGCUAACUUCGUG
rnacentral:rRNA from 1 species